GGUUAAGCGACUAAGCGUACACGGUGGAUGCCCUGGCAGUCAGAGGCGAUGAAGGGCGUGCUAAUCUGCGAUAAGCGCCGGUAAGGUGAUAUGAACCGUUAUAACCGGCGAUACCCGAAUGGGGAAACCCAGUGUGACUCGUCACACUAUCAUUAACUGAAUCCAUAGGUUAAUGAGGCGAACCGGGGGAACUGAAACAUCUAAGUACCCCGAGGAAAAGAAAUCAACCGAGAUUCCCCCAGUAGCGGCGAGCGAACGGGGAGGAGCCCAGAGCCUGAAUCAGCAUGUGUGUUAGUGGAAGCGUCUGGAAAGGCGCGCGAUACAGGGUGACAGCCCCGUACACAAAAGCGCAUGUGCUGUGAGCUCGAAGAGUAGGGCGGGACACGUGGUAUCCUGUCUGAAUAUGGGGGGACCAUCCUCCAAGGCUAAAUACUCCUGACUGACCGAUAGUGAACCAGUACCGUGAGGGAAAGGCGAAAAGAACCCCGGCGAGGGGAGUGAAAAAGAACCUGAAACCGUGUACGUACAAGCAGUGGGAGCCCCACCACUAAGCCAGUGGUGAACUCCACAUACGCAUCCUUUGCUGAGGAUACGGUUAACGGAGCGAAAGCGACGUUCAACCGCAAAAGAAGCAGAGGGGGCUUAGUGGUGGGGUGACUGCGUACCUUUUGUAUAAUGGGUCAGCGACUUAUAUUCUGUAGCAAGGUUAACCGUAUAGGGGAGCCGGAGGGAAACCGAGUCUUAACCGGGCGUUAAGUUGCAGGGUAUAGACCCGAAACCCGGUGAUCUAGCCAUGGGCAGGUUGAAGGUUGGGUAACACUAACUGGAGGACCGAACCGACUAAUGUUGAAAAAUUAGCGGAUGACCUGUGGCUGGGGGUGAAAGGCCAAUCAAACCGGGAGAUAGCUGGUUCUCCCCGAAAGCUAUUUAGGUAGCGCCUCGUGAACUCAUCUCCGGGGGUAGAGCACUGUUUCGGCUAGGGGGCCAUCCCGGCUUACCAACCCGAUGCAAACUGCGAAUACCGGAGAAUGUUAUCACGGGAGACACACGGCGGGUGCUAACGUCCGUCGUGAAGAGGGAAACAACCCAGACCGCCAGCUAAGGUCCCAAAGUCAUGGUUAAGUGGGAAACGAUGUGGGAAGGCCCAGACAGCCAGGAUGUUGGCUUAGAAGCAGCCAUCAUUUAAAGAAAGCGUAAUAGCUCACUGGUCGAGUCGGCCUGCGCGGAAGAUGUAACGGGGCUAAACCAUGCACCGAAGCUGCGGCAGCGACGCUUAUGCGUUGUUGGGUAGGGGAGCGUUCUGUAAGCCUGCGAAGGUGGCCUGUGAGGGUUGCUGGAGGUAUCAGAAGUGCGAAUGCUGACAUAAGUAACGAUAAAGCGGGUGAAAAGCCCGCUCGCCGGAAGACCAAGGGUUCCUGUCCAACGUUAAUCGGGGCAGGGUGAGUCGACCCCUAAGGCGAGGCCGAAAGGCGUAGUCGAUGGGAAACGGGUUAAUAUUCCCGUACUUGGUGUUACUGCGAAGGGGGGACGGAGAAGGCUAUGUUGGCCGGGCGACGGUUGUCCCGGUUUAAGCGUGUAGGUGUGUGUUCCAGGUAAAUCCGGUUCACUUUAACACUGAGGCGUGAUGACGAGGCACUACGGUGCUGAAGCAACAAAUGCCCUGCUUCCAGGAAAAGCCUCUAAGCAUCAGGUAACAUCAAAUCGUACCCCAAACCGACACAGGUGGUCAGGUAGAGAAUACCAAGGCGCUUGAGAGAACUCGGGUGAAGGAACUAGGCAAAAUGGUGCCGUAACUUCGGGAGAAGGCACGCUGACACGUAGGUGAAGUGAUUUACUCACGGAGCUGAAGUCAGUCGAAGAUACCAGCUGGCUGCAACUGUUUAUUAAAAACACAGCACUGUGCAAACACGAAAGUGGACGUAUACGGUGUGACGCCUGCCCGGUGCCGGAAGGUUAAUUGAUGGGGUUAUCCGUAAGGAGAAGCUCUUGAUCGAAGCCCCGGUAAACGGCGGCCGUAACUAUAACGGUCCUAAGGUAGCGAAAUUCCUUGUCGGGUAAGUUCCGACCUGCACGAAUGGCGUAAUGAUGGCCAGGCUGUCUCCACCCGAGACUCAGUGAAAUUGAACUCGCUGUGAAGAUGCAGUGUACCCGCGGCAAGACGGAAAGACCCCGUGAACCUUUACUAUAGCUUGACACUGAACAUUGAGCCUUGAUGUGUAGGAUAGGUGGGAGGCUUUGAAGUGUGGACGCCAGUCUGCAUGGAGCCGACCUUGAAAUACCACCCUUUAAUGUUUGAUGUUCUAACGUGGACCCGUGAUCCGGGUUGCGGACAGUGUCUGGUGGGUAGUUUGACUGGGGCGGUCUCCUCCUAAAGAGUAACGGAGGAGCACGAAGGUUGGCUAAUCCUGGUCGGACAUCAGGAGGUUAGUGCAAUGGCAUAAGCCAGCUUGACUGCGAGCGUGACGGCGCGAGCAGGUGCGAAAGCAGGUCAUAGUGAUCCGGUGGUUCUGAAUGGAAGGGCCAUCGCUCAACGGAUAAAAGGUACUCCGGGGAUAACAGGCUGAUACCGCCCAAGAGUUCAUAUCGACGGCGGUGUUUGGCACCUCGAUGUCGGCUCAUCACAUCCUGGGGCUGAAGUAGGUCCCAAGGGUAUGGCUGUUCGCCAUUUAAAGUGGUACGCGAGCUGGGUUUAGAACGUCGUGAGACAGUUCGGUCCCUAUCUGCCGUGGGCGCUGGAGAACUGAGGGGGGCUGCUCCUAGUACGAGAGGACCGGAGUGGACGCAUCACUGGUGUUCGGGUUGUCAUGCCAAUGGCACUGCCCGGUAGCUAAAUGCGGAAGAGAUAAGUGCUGAAAGCAUCUAAGCACGAAACUUGCCCCGAGAUGAGUUCUCCCUGAGACUUAAAGUCUCCUGAAGGAACGUUGAAGACGACGACGUUGAUAGGCCGGGUGUGUAAGCGCAGCGAUGCGUUGAGCUAACCGGUACUAAUGAACCGUGAGGCUUAACCUU
rnacentral:rRNA from 1 species